GACGUAGGGCGCGAGCGUUUGUCCGGAUUUAUUGGGCGUAAAGAGCUCGUAGGCGGCUUGUUGCGUCGACUGUGAAAACCCGCAGCUUAACUGCGGGCCUGCAGUUGAUACGGGCAGGCUAGAGUUCGGUAGGGGAGACUGGAAUUCCUGGUGUAGCGGUGAAAUGCGUAGAUAUCUGGAGGAACACCGGUGGCGAAGGCGGCAUUCUGGACCGAUAUUGACGCUGAGGAGCGAAAGCCAGGGGAGCAAAGCGGG
rnacentral:rRNA from 1 species